GACCCAGUAGCGGAGUGUCCGCGCCCGAAUUAUGUAGCUCUGCAAUGAGGUCGAAGCGGGAACCCUGGUUCGACUGCAGGCUGGGUCA